rnacentral:rRNA from 1 species
UACAGAGGGUGCAAGCGUUGUUCGGAAUUAUUGAGCGUAAAGGGCGCGUAGGCGGCUCGGCACGUCCGUUGUGAAAUCGCCCGGCUCAACUGGGCGGGGUCAGCGGAUACGGUCGAGCUUGAGCAAGCUAGGGGGCAAUGGAAUUCCCGGUGUAGUGGUGGAAUGCGUAGAUAUUCGGAAGAACACCAGUGGCGAAGGCGACUCACUGGACACAUAUUGACGCUGAGGUGCGAAAGCGUGGGGAGCAAACAGG